AUUGAACGCUGGCGGCAUGCCUUACACAUGCAAGUCGAACGGCAGCACGGGAGUAAUCCUGGUGGCGAGUGGCGAACGGGUGAGUAAUACAUCGGAACGUGCCCAAUCGUGGGGGAUAACGCAGCGAAAGCUGUGCUAAUACCGCAUACGAUCUACGGAUGAAAGCAGGGGAUCGCAAGACCUUGCGCGAAUGGAGCGGCCGAUGGCAGAUUAGGUAGUUGGUGAGGUAAAGGCUCACCAAGCCGUCGAUCUGUAGCUGGUCUGAGAGGACGACCAGCCACACUGGGACUGAGACACGGCCCAGACUCCUACGGGAGGCAGCAGUGGGGAAUUUUGGACAAUGGGCGAAAGCCUGAUCCAGCCAUGCCGCGUGCAGGAUGAAGGCCUUCGGGUUGUAAACUGCUUUUGUACGGAACGAAACGGCCUUUUCUAAUAAAGAGGGCUAAUGACGGUACCGUAAGAAUAAGCACCGGCUAACUACGUGCCAGCAGCCGCGGUAAUACGUAGGGUGCAAGCGUUAAUCGGGAUUACUGGGCGUAAAGCGUGCGCAGGCGGUUAUGUAAGACAGUUGUGAAAUCCCCGGGCUCAACCUGGGAACUGCAUCUGUGACUGCAUAGCUAGAGUACGGUAGAGGGGGAUGGAAUUCCGCGUGUAGCAGUGAAAUGCGUAGAUAUGCGGAGGAACACCGAUGGCGAAGGCAAUCCCCUGGACCUGUACUGACGCUCAUGCACGAAAGCGUGGGGAGCAAACAGG
rnacentral:rRNA from 1 species